AGUCUUAUAUUCAAAUAAUGAUAUAAAAUUGCAAAUUUUAAGGUGUAAAUAAUGCUAAGACUU
rnacentral:tRNA from 1 species